AAUUGAACAGAAAGAUUGGUUCCCCAUGCAAUACUUUAUUUCUUUUGUGUUUGUUGUGACUGAGAAAACAAUGGCAGAGGACACAGGAAAUGCACCUGAGUUGUGUACAUGCGGAUGAGCUGAUGUUUGCAGUGACUUGGAGUUGUGAACAUAAGAUGGAAUGUGCCAUUCAAGCAUUAUAUCAUCUUACUUAAACUGUGAGACAAGAAUACUUCUUGAAAAUUACUAAUUCUACAGCUCUAAGGCACCACCAGUGCCUGUGGAAAAGGGCUUUAAUCCUACACUGCAUCCUCAGCGUGGGUUUGGAGUGAUUUCGCGCAAGAUCAUUCACCUCCUCUGUGCUCCUGUGGGUCAGACAGCUUGUCAUUGAGCAAAACAUCAAGUAGCAGGUUUGAUUUCUUUGAUUUCUUGGAGGCUUGCAUUUUUAUUUUGAAAAAGGUAGAAUUGUUUGAUUUUGUAUAGAUAAUCCAUAUAUUCUUCAAAGUG
rnacentral:lncRNA from 1 species